rnacentral:rRNA from 1 species
UACGUAGGUGGCAAGCGUUGUCCGGAUUUACUGGGCGUAAAGGGAGCGUAGGCGGAUACUUAAGUGGGAUGUGAAAUACCUGGGCUUAACUUGGGUGCUGCAUUCCAAACUGGGUGUCUAGAGUGUUGGAGAGGAAAGUGGAAUUCCUAGUGUAGCGGUGAAAUGCGUAGAGAUUAGGAAGAACACCAGUGGCGAAGGCGACUUUCUGGACCAUAACUGACGCUGAGGCUCGAAAGCGUGGGGAGCAAACAGGAUUAGAUACCCUGGUAGUCCACGCCGUAAACGAUGGGUACUAGGUGUAGGAGGGAUCGACUCCUUCUGUGCCGCCGUUAACGCAAUAAGUACCCCGCCUGGGGAGUACGGUCGCAAGAUUAAA